rnacentral:rRNA from 1 species
UACGUAGGGGGCAAGCGUUGUCCGGAUUUAUUGGGCGUAAAGAGCGUGUAGGCGGCUAGAUAGGUCCGUUGUGAAAACUCGAGGCUCAACCUCGAGACGUCGAUGGAAACCAUCUGGCUAGAGUCCGGAAGAGGAGAGUGGAAUUCCUGGUGUAGCGGUGAAAUGCGCAGAUAUCAGGAAGAACACCCGUGGCGAAGGCGGUUCUCUGGGACGGUACUGACGCUGAGACGCGAAAGCGUGGGGAGCGAACAGG